rnacentral:lncRNA from 1 species
CUCUCUCUCACACGGCUCGGUUUUCUCCCCCCUAUCUCUGACUCCGGCGAAGUCCAACAUCGCCGCCGCCGCUUGGGUCGACGGGAGCCGCUGGAGCCCCCACACGUCUCCUCCUCCCUUCAAUCCAACUCUCUCUUCUUCUUCCUCACUGAAACGCACACACCCAUCUCACCUCUCUUUCGCUGUCGCUCUCGAUUCCGGCGUCGCGCCGCCGCGCCGCUCCGCCUGCAAUUGCCUACUGAAGUCACCGCCGUCUGGAGUUGCCGCCACCGUCGCCAGCUGGAGCCUCGGCAGCCGCUGCCUCUCUUGGAAUUGCUGCCGUUGCUGCUGCUCAGGAGUUGGCGAGAGACGGCAGAACAGCUGCUGCCGACAGCGGCCAGCUCGCCGGGGCUGCCUUCCUCCGAAGUUGGCGCCGCCUCGUUCUCCUCUCUCUCGUUUUAUCUCUCGAUAGGUUUGUGAAUUUGAAAUAGUUUUACAUAAAACUCAAUUUUGUGUAAAGACUUGAUUUUGGAGUCAAAACUUCAUUUUCUGUACUCUAAUUUAGUGAUAUAGAGGUUCUAUUUCUGAUUUCUU